rnacentral:misc_RNA from 1 species
GUGAGUCAUCGAAUCUUUGAACGCACAUUGCGCCCCUUGGUAUUCCGAGGGGCAUGCCCGUUCGAGCGUCAUUAUAACCCCUCAAGCCUAGCUUGGUGUUGGGGCCUGCUGUUACCGGCAGCCCUUAAAAUCAGUGGCGGUGCCAUCUGGCUCUAAGCGUAGUAAUACUUCUCGCUACAGGGUCCCGGUGGAUGCUUGCCAUCAACCCCUAAUUUUCUAUGGUUGACCUCGGAUCGGGUAGGGAUACCCGCUGAACUUAAGCAUAUCAAUAAGCGGAGGA